UGGGGAAUCUUGCACAAUGGGGGAAACCCUGAUGCAGCGAUGCCGCGUGAACGAUGAAGCCCUUCGGGGUGUAAAGUUCUUUCGGCAGGAACGAUAAUGACGGUACCUGAAGAAGAAGCUGCGGCUAACUACGUGCCAGCAGCCGCGGUAAUACGUAGGCAGCAAGCGUUGUUCGGAGUUACUGGGCGUAAAGAGUACGUAGGCGGUUUGCCAAGUUUGGUGUGAAAUCUCCUGGCUUAACUGGGAGGGUGCGCCGAAUACUGGCAGACUUGAGUAUUGGAGAGGAAAGCGGAAUUCCUGGUGUAGCGGUGAAACGCGUAGAUAUCAGGAGGAACACCGGUGGUGUAGACGGCUUUCUGGACAAUCACUGACGCUGAGGUACGAAAGCGUGGGUAGCAAACAGGAUUAGAUACCCAAGUAGUCCCUGAGCGGGCUGGCAAGGCGCAU
rnacentral:rRNA from 1 species